rnacentral:rRNA from 1 species
UACGGAGGGUGCAAGCGUUGUUCGGAAUCACUGGGCGUAAAGCGCACGUAGGCGGAUUGUUAAGUCGGGGGUGAAAUCCUGAGGCUCAACCUCAGAACUGCCUCCGAUACUGGCAAUCUCGAGUUCGGAAGAGGUUGGUGGAACAGCUAGUGUAGAGGUGAAAUUCGUAGAUAUUAGGAAGAACACCGGUGGCGAAGGCGGCCCACUGGUCCGGUACUGACGCUGAGGUGCGAAAGCGUGGGGAGCAAACAGG